AUAUGAAAAAGUUCGACACUUGGAUACUCAUAUUGGUCAACCUCAGUUUAGUCCUCCUACGUUUCUAUCUAUUCCUGUGCUGCAUGAAGUGACUCCAGUCGGAUAUCUUAUUGCACCGCCAGAAGGAAACCAAUUGGACCUCAGAGUGAUUGGAAGCUGAAUAAUAAUAUCCAUGUGUCCAAGAAGGAGCACCAAAGCAAAAAAAUUCAGCCAGGAAUCUCUGAUAUAGUUGAAUUGCUGGAUGCUUACAGAGGUUAAAAAGCUCAGAGAAGCAGGAAACAUCAUUUGAUUACUGUUGGGCAGCUGAUGGUGCUGUGAUCAUUUGCUUCACUUCUGGGAAAAGAUAUCCUGGAAAUCAACCAUCCCGAAAGUUCUUUCGGCAUAAAGACCAGAGUGAUAUGAAAUUUUAGUAAAUUUAGAUUAUGUAUAAAAUUUAAGAAAAUCAAACAGAAACUGGCAGCAUCGCAUGGGCAAGCUGCCUAGUUUUAGCUUAGGUUUAAA